rnacentral:rRNA from 1 species
AGUGAACGCUGGCGGCAGGCCUAACACAUGCAAGUCGAGCGGCAGCGGGUCCUUCUGGAUGUCGGCGAGCGGCGGACGGGUGAGUAAUACAUCGGAAUCUGCCCUGUCUUGGGGGAUAACCUAGGGAAACUUAGGCUAAUACCGCAUACGACCUACGGUUGAAAGCGGGGGAUCACAAGACCUCGCGCGACAGGAUGAGCCGAUGUCCGAUUAGCUAGUUGGCGGGGUAAAGGCGCACCAAGGCGACGAUCGGUAGCUGGUCUGAGAGGAUGACCAGCCACACUGGGACUGAGACACGGCCCAGACUCCUACGGGAGGCAGCAGUAGGGAAUAUUGGACAAUGGGCGCAAGCCUGAUCCAGCCAUGCCGCGUGGGUGAAGAAGGCCUUCGGGUUGUAAAGCCCUUUUGUCCGGGAAGAAAUCGUCUGGGCUAAUACCCCGAGCGGAUGACGGUACCGGAAGAAUAAGCACCGGCUAACUUCGUG